AUUACAUUCCUCACAAUUAUGUGCUUCCAACCUUCCUGUUUCAUGGCAAUGCUCAGUGUGCAAAGAAAUGUCCUUAAAUGGAAUGGUGUGAGCAAGUCAGUGUUGAAGAACCUGACUGUUUUUUCAGAGCCUUCACCUCAACAACUUCAAACAUCUUUGUGAUGACAUGUAAUGUUGCCUGCAAGCCAGGAUUAAUCACCCAACGUCAGUGCACAAUGGAAG